ensembl:lncRNA
AAAGAGAGGUGUAGAGGAAAGAGAGGUGUAGAGGAAAGAGAGGUGUAGAGGAAAGAGAGGAGGACAGGAAAGAGAGGUGUGGAGAGGAAAGAGAGGUGGAGGUGAAAGAGAGAUGGAGAGGAAAGAGAGAUGGAGAGGAAAGAGAGGUGGAGAGGAAAGAGAGAUGGAGAGGAAAGAGAGAUGGAGAGGAAAGAGGCGGAGAGGAAAGAGGCGGAGAGGAAAGAGAGGUGUAGAGAGGAAAGAGAGGUGGAGAGGAAAGAGAGGUGUAGAGAGGAAAGAGAGAUGGAGGUGAAAGAGAGAUGGAGAGGAAAGAGAGAUGGAGAGGAAAGAGGCGGAGAGGAAAGAGGCGGAGAGGAAAGAGAGGUGGAGAGGAAAGAGAGAUGGAGAGGAAAGAGAGAUGGAGGUGAAAGACAGAUGGACAGGAAAGACAGGUGGAGGUGAAAGAGAGAUGGAGGUGAAAGAGAGAUGGAGGUGAAAGAGAGAUGGAGGUGAAAGACAGGUGGAGGUGAAAGAGAGAUGGAGGUGAAAGAGAGAUGGAGGUGAAAGAGAGAUGGAGGUGAAAGAGAGAUCAGGGUGAAAGAGAGAUGGAGGUGAAAGAGAGGUGGAGGUGAAAGAGAGGUGGAGGUGAAAGAGCGUGGACAGGAAGGAGAGGUCGAGGUGAAAGAGGUCGAGUUGAAAGAGGUGGAGAGGAAGGAGAGGUAGAGAUGAAAGAGGUGGACAGGAAGGAGAGGUGGAGAUGAAGGAGAGGUAGACAGGAAGGAGAGGUAGACAAAGGAGAGGUAGACAGGAAGGAGAGGUAGACAAGAAGGAGAGGUGGACAGGAAGGAGAGGUGGACAGGAAGGAGAGGUGGACAGGAAGGAGA